rnacentral:rRNA from 1 species
CAAUAGCGUAUAUUUAAGUUGUUGCAGGUAAAAAGCUCGUAGUUGGAUUUCGGUUAAGAGCGACCGGUCCGCCGUUUGGUGUGCACUGGUUGGUUUUAACUUCCUGUAGAGGACGUGCUCUGGGUUUAACGACCUGGACUCGGAGUCUACGUGGUUACUUUGAAAAAAUUAGAGUGUUCAAAGCGGGCUUACGCUUGAAUAUUUCAGCAUGGAAUAACACUAUAGGACUCCUGUCCUAUUUCGUUGGUCUCGGGACGGGAGUAAUGAUUAAGAGGAACAGUUGGGGGCAUUCGUAUUUCAUUGUCAGAGGUGAAAUUCUUGGAUUUAUGAAAGACGAACUUCUGCGAAAGCAUUUGCCAAGGAUGUUUUCAUUAA